rnacentral:rRNA from 1 species
UACGUAGGGGUGCGAGCGUUAAUCGGAAUUACUGGGCGUAAAGCGUGCGCAGGCGGUAAUGCAAGACAGAUGUGGAAAUCCCCCGGGCUUAACCUGGAGCUGCAUUUGUGACUGCAUUGCUGGAGUGCGGCAGAGGGGGAUGGAAUUCCGCGUGUAGCAGUGAAAUGCGUAGAUAUGCGGAGGAACACCGAUGGCGAAGGCAAUCCCCUGGGCCUGCACUGACGCUCAUGCACGAAAGCGUGGGGAGCAAACAGG